rnacentral:lncRNA from 1 species
GGCAGAUCCAAAACCCUAGCCACCUUAAAAUCCGACUCCGCAAUUAGCCGCACCUCCACGAACCUCGCUGUCCAACCAAAGGCCACCGGUGACGACAGAUCUGGAAGAACCGCCAUGGUCGGACCCCGAAUCAAUCAUCAACCAACGACAUCAGUGCUUCAGCAUAUCGGCUAGGGGGAGAGGCUAAGUAACGAAGCAAAGGGAAAACGAGAGGGGAGAAGGAGGCACCGACACCAGCG